AUACAUGACGUGUGUGAUAUGAAGGUGAAUCCAGUCCAUGUAGUGAACUGUGUGCUGUAUUGAUGAGGAGCUCAGUGAUCAGAGUCCAUGUAGUUUCCAGGAUCAGACUGAAUGCAGUGCUGGAAGCUGCUGUUGACUGUGUGAAUGUGUGUCUGUGCUGCUUGUUGCUGCUGUCAAACUUCAGCUGAGCCGGUAGUGAAGCCCGUGGUGAGCGUGUACCCAGCAGCAUCCAGAGCCCACCAUGAGGGGAAGAGCUCCCUGCUGUGUGUGGCCUCAAACAUGUUUCCUCCUCUGGUCCGCUUCUCCUGGAAAAGACGAAAGGUGAACGAGUCUCUGGAGGAGCAGGCACCUGCUGAGGAGGUGCAGGCACCUGCUGAGGAGGUGCAGCUGGAGCUCAGAGAGUCGGGACGCACCGCCGCCAUCAGAGUGAUUCAUCAGGACGCUCUCUCCAAAUAUAAAUACCGCUGCUACGUCCAGCACGAGGGGGGGGAAGUGAAGGCCCAAACAGAACAAGAGGUUCCGGUGGCCUCCUGUCCUCCAGAGAGAGAGCCAGCAGACCUGGCAGCUCUGCAGCAAGCUGACUUGUCCUUCCAGUCUCAGUGCAGGGUGAAGCUGCUCUGGCUGCUGUACACAGUGCUGAUAGUGAAGAGUCUGGUGUACUGCUGUGGACUCCCUCUGCUGUGAAUCCUCAGAAACAAGGGACCGUCCACCGGCUGCACACAUGAUGACUGACUGUUUUCUGCUCGCCUUUUCUCACCAUCAGAUCUCAUCAAUUCAUCUCAGUGAUCACCACUCAGAAAUGUUAUGUUGUGCACAGGUUAGAUAUAGUCUUCAAAAAAAUAUAAACACAUAUAUUUGCAGUUACUGAGUGUAAAUUCUGUGGUAUAGUGUUAUUUUGAUCAUCUAGUUUAUUUCCUCUUGUAGAAAAUGUAACUGAAUUAUUAGCUGUCUGCUAGAUAUUUUAUCAUUUACAAUAUUUGUCUGUUCUCUUUUUAAUACAUUAUGCAGAGUGUGGUAGAAUUCUUUUAGAGUAACUUUCUCAAUAAACUAAAAAAAUCACAGCAUCUGGGUUUUAUAAACAUCCUUGUUUUUAUGGAUUUCGGGUUGGUCUCAUAGCAAAUAGUUAACUUCAUUGGCAAUGUGAGUUGACAGCUACAAAUAAUUUGACUCAGGUUGUAAGCAGCUCACAAUAUACUUUCACACAGCGCCAAGAACAAAUGUACAGGAAGAUAUGAAUAUAAGCACACAGCUAAACAAGGACAACAAAGCUAAACAAAGAUGAGCGAACAUAAACAUAUAGCUGUUAUAUACAAGUCAUUUUAUAAUUGUGUCAGUGUGGAUGUAAAACUCUACGCUGAUGACACUGUUGUUUACACACAUGAACAAACAGCAGAGCUGCUGUGAAGCUACAACUGCUAUAAAAUGAUCCCACAGCAGCUCCAUCAGUCGGGUUGAAGACUGACUGUCGGCAACAUGAUGGCUGUAUUUAUUUCUUCUAAACCAAUAAAAUGCUGCUUAACUUUUUAUUUUGCCUGCUGCCGUUUUGAAACGUUGUUUAGUUAUUAUUCCCAUGUGAACACUCUGCUGUCUGACUACCUGUUAGAAUCAGUGUGAGGUCAUAAAGUGGGAUCAGAGCAGACUGCAGGUGGUUGAACAUAUCUCCUUUUAUUUCAGCUUCUCAGCUCUGAGUUCAGGAUUUGAGCUGUUUCUCUCACAGAUUAAUAACAGAUCAAAACUGAGACAGUGAGUACUGAGCGCUGAAAUCAAACUGAACUUCCUAGAAUGAUUUGACGGUUGUAACUGUCAUUGUGUUAUUAAUGUGAAAAAGUGCAGCUAGCGGUGAGGAGGCUGCAGAGCAGAAACCCACACUGCUGCAGGAAAGGAAGUGCUGAUUGGCUGUCAACAGUUUUUUUUUAUGAGUCCUAAUAACCACUGAGAACAGAUUCAUAUCUGCUGCUGUACACACUCAUCAACUCCUCUCCCUCUCUGUAGCUGUUUGUCUUUUCUCUUGUUGUCUGGAAGCCUUUUUUCCACUGAGCCCUCCACCCACACAGAGUUGAACUGAGCCCAGAGACCAACAAUGACGACCCACCUGGAGGUCACGUCCAUGGGCUUUAUUUAUGGGGAUUUUAGCCAUCAAAGGUGAACUUUACAGUUUACACUUGGUGUUGAUGAGAGCCAACAAGUCCUCAUACAAACAUGACUAAAGGCUUCUUUGUCAGAGCCGG